rnacentral:rRNA from 1 species
GACGAACGCUGGCGGCGUGCUUAACACAUGCAAGUCGAACGGAAAGGCCCUGCUUUUGUGGGGUGCUCGAGUGGCGAACGGGUGAGUAACACGUGUGUAACCUGCCCCUGUUCUUGGGAUAACUUCAGGAAACUGGGGAUCAUACCGGAUAGGAGCUCCUGCUGCAUGGUGUGGGUUGGAAUGUUUCGGCGGUUGUGGAUGGACUCGCUGCUUACCAGCUUGUUGGUGGGGUAGUGACUUACCAAGGAUUUGACGGGUAGCCGGCCUGGGUGGGUGACCGGCCACAUUGGGACUGAGAUACGGCCCAGACUCCUACGGGAGGCAGCGGGGGGGAAUAUUGCACAAUGGGCGGAAGCCUGAGGCAGCAACGCCGCGUGCGGGAUAACGGCCUUCGGGUUGUAAACCGCUUUCGCCUGUGACGAAGCGUGAGUGACGGUAAUGAGUAAAGAAGCACCGGCUAACUACGUG